rnacentral:rRNA from 1 species
AUUGAACGCUGGCGGCAGGCUUAACACAUGCAAGUCGAGCGGAGAUGAGGUGCUUGCACCUUAUCUUAGCGGCGGACGGGUGAGUAAUGCUUAGGAAUCUGCCUAUUAGUGGGGGACAACAUCCCGAAAGGAAUGCUAAUACCGCAUACGUCCUACGGGAGAAAGCAGGGGAUCUUCGGACCUUGCGCUAAUAGAUGAGCCUAAGUCGGAUUAGCUAGUUGGUGGGGUAAAGGCCUACCAAGGCGACGAUCUGUAGCGGUUCUGAGAGGAUGAUCCGCCACACUGGGACUGAGACACGGCCCAGACUCCUACGGGAGGCAGCAGUGGGGAAUAUUGGACAAUGGGGGAACCCUGAUCCAGCCAUGCCGCGUGUGUGAAGAAGGCCUUAUGGUUGUAAAGCACUUUAAGCGAGGAGGAGGCUACUGAGACUAAUACUCUUGGAUAGUGGACGUUACUCGCAGAAUAAGCACCGGCUAACUCUGUGCCAGCCGCCGCGGUAA